rnacentral:lncRNA from 1 species
ACAAGCAAUUGAUAAUUUCUUAAUUGGUUUGGAGGUUCCUCGGAUACUAGAGAAUCUAAAAUAUUUAUUAAAUUCUCCAUUCACAGAAAAGGAAGUUAUAAAAAUAAUGUUUGAUUUGAGACCUCUUAAAGCACUUGAACCGAAUAGCUAUCCUGCAUUCUUUCAUUAUAAUUGGGAUGUGGUAGGAUUGUUGGUAACAGAUCCAUGGCUCAACUU